CUUGAGAUUUCUCCUUUGUUUUAACUUUUCAAUAUUUGGGAUCGUACAUAUGGUGAGAAUAGGAGAGUUAAGGGUACUUAGGUUAGUUAAUAGGUAAGAAUCUAGUCCCAAAAAUUGUCCUUAUUCAUUAAUGAUACAUAUGGAAAGACCAGACUGCCUUUCAUUUAAAAUUGGGACUGGGCACCUGGACGGGACCUCAACACGGACCUUGUUGAGCAAUACGGUUUUCAGUCACCAUCGUGGUGAGAGAAUUCAUUUAUGAAAAAGGUUCUUAAAAUGAGGUGCUUACCAUGAGGCACACCACUAUCCGUUAUGGUCACUACGACCGGUGGUAUUUGUCCGUGGUGUUUGAGUUGAACUUGAGAAAUUUGGGGCUUGUAGGGGGGUUUAUAAGAAUUCCUCCAUAGAGACCUUCACUGUCUUUGAAAGGAAAUAUGGGCCGUGGAGGGUGGACAUAGUGAGGAGCCUAAUAGAGGCCUAUAGGUGGUGUCACCACGGGGUGUCACUACGGCUUGUGAUUCCAUUCGUGAUCACCACCGCCAGAAACUCAAUAUGUAGGGUAUGUACUACGGUGGACUUUCACGGCCUGUGGUCCUCUUUAUUGCCUGUAGAGGGCCUUGUGAAGGCUACUUGAUGGCAUAAAGCUGCAUUUUUUUGGAAAAUUUAUCUUCUGAACCUUGUUUUAGGACUUUUCAACUUCUGGGGUCAUACAAUAUCUCCCCUUUUGAAAUAUUCGUCCUCGAAUGAGACUCAAUCUAGCAUGAAUGGAAUAAGAAAGGAACAUAACAACCCAUCAUUAAUGCAAAACAUCUCAAAAAUCCAUAAAACCAUGAAAUCUUCAAUAUCAAGCGUAAACGUGACUUUAAAACUCAUUUUAUGAAUAUGAAUGCAUAUGAACCAUAAGAACAACUAAAACACAUGAUUUGGGCUGAUUACAUAAUGAAGGAACUAUAAACCAUAACUAGGAACAGAGGGAAAGAGAUGAGCAUAUUAAGAUAUCAUAUCGGCUUCGGCUUCCCUUAUAGCACUCUCGACCUUUUGGUUCCUCCAUAACACUUUAAUUGAAGCUAUUUUCUUGUUCCUCAACUUUCUAGCUUACCGAUCUGAGAUCUCAAGCGGGACCUCCUUAUAUAAGAGACUCUCCCUCACAUCAAUGUUAUCCAAUGGCACAAUAGAGAUAGGAUCACCAACAAACUUCCUCAACAAAGACACAUGAAAUACCAGAUGCACCAAUGCCAAAUUAGAAGGCAAUCCAACUUAUAAGCCACCGUAACAAUCUUCCUCAAAAUAUGAUAUGGGCCAAUAUAUCAUGGACUGAGCUUCCUUGUCAUGACAUAAACUAGGGCCAAGAUGUGACACAAUGAUCGAAACCCUGAAGAUCUGUUACACCCCACACUCUCGAGCUCGGAAUGUCUCUUAAGUUCUUUAGACAUUAUCAUGUGAGACGGAUAAGCUACGACACUAUCAAACGACUCCAAGGAAAGGAGAAUGUGAUACCCUAUAGUAGAGAAGAUUGGAAAUAGAGUCAUAAGAAUCCGUAAGGAAUUGGAGACCAAGUAAUGAGUCGUAGGACUCAAUUUACCUAUGUAAGAUACUAAUUUAGAAGUCUUAUACAUUUGAGUUGCUUAAGGACAUACCAAGCUUACAUAGCAUGGGUUACAUAGGCUCCUAAAAUAAGAUGAGAUUACGAACCCACGAGGAAGGGGAAAAGACCAUACAUGGCAGCCAAUGGAGGAGCGACAUGUGGUAGCACCUCAAGCAAGCAGGUGAUGCACCUACUUAGGGUCAAGUAGGUGAUGCAUCUGCUUGGGGGAGGUGGGCCCCACUGCCAUGUGGCAGCCCCUCCUUCAUAACAUGGAUCCGUGGCCCAAUAGGGGCUGGACAUGUGGCACCCAAUAGGGAUGACAUGUGUCACCUCCUAAGCCAGCAUAUACAUGUAUGUAUUAUGACUAUUAACUUGUUCAUUAUCCAAAAAAAAUCAGCCAAGAACUUAGAAAAACUCUUAGAGAGGAAAAAGGAGACCUACGGCAACUAAGGAAGAAAAGGGCGUGACACUCGAAACAAGCAAGAGAGAGUUGAAGGAAAAACUUGAAGAACAAAUAAGGAGGGCUACGGGUUUGAGCAAGAAAAGAGCGAAGAAGUGUCAAAAACAGUCCACUCUGUUUCAGCAUGACAAGAGAUUUUCGAAGCAAGUUUUGAUGAGUUUUGGCCAAUUUCGGGUAAGGUUCACGGGACGACAAGGCGACCGGGACAAAGACUAACCCAUAACAGGUACAGAUGUUCAUUUUGGAGAUCGAUCAGCUUAGGAGUUCCUCUCAGCUAUGUCGGAAGUACUUCACUGUUCUGGAGCCUAAUUUUUUAUACUGAUCAUUUAAUAUACAUAUUUAUUUAUUCAGGGGUACGGCGGGGGCCUUGUCCUACCAUAUGAUGCAGUUAUUACUCUUAGAGGUCUGUAGACAUGUGUAUGUGGGUUUUUUUAAGUUUGUUUCAGUUGUGCUCAUACGAUGUAUUGCAAAU